rnacentral:tRNA from 1 species
UAUUUUAUAAUGUAUGAAGCAUAAAGAUUUUUGAUAUCUUCAGAGAUAGUUUAAUUCUAUUUAAAAUAC